UACGUAGGGGGCAAGCGUUGUCCGGAUUUAUUGGGCGUAAGGAGCGUGUAGGCGGCCACACAGGUCUGCUGUGAAAACUCGAGGCUCAACCUCGAGCUGUCGGUGGAAACCGUGUGGCUAGAGUCCGGAAGAGGAGAGUGGAAUUCCCGGUGUAGCGGUGAAAUGCGCAGAUAUCGGGAAGAACACCCGUGGCGAAGGCGGCUCUCUGGGACGGUACUGACGCUGAGACGCGAAAGCGUGGGGAGCGAACAGG
rnacentral:rRNA from 1 species